rnacentral:tRNA from 3 species
UAAAAAGUCCUUUAAACAC